GACGAACGCUGGCGGUGUGCCUAACACAUGCAAGUCGAGCGGAGCUGUCGGAGCUUGCUUUGACAGCUUAGUGGCGAACGGGUGAGUAACGCGUGAGCAACCUGCCCUUGAGAGGGGGAUAACAUCGGGAAACCGAUGCUAAUACCGCAUAAAAUAUGCAGAUGGCAUCAUUGGCAUAUCAAAGGAGAAAUCCGCUCAAGGAUGGGCUCGCGUCCAAUUAGCUAGUUGGCGGGGUAACGGCCCACCAAGGCGACGAUUGGUAGCCGAACUGAGAGGUUGAUCGGCCACAUUGGGACUGAGACACGGCCCAGACUCCUACGGGAGGCAGCAGUGGGGAAUAUUGGGCAAUGGGCGAAAGCCUGACCCAGCGACGCCGCGUGAAGGAUGAAGGUCUUCGGAUUGUAAACUUCUUUGAUCAGGGAAGAAAGAAUGACGGUACCUGAAAAACAGCCACGGCUAACUACGUGCCAGCAGCCGCGGUAAUACGU
rnacentral:rRNA from 1 species